AGUGAACGCUGGCGGUAGGCCUAACACAUGCAAGUCGAACGGCAGCACAGUAAGAGCUUGCUCUUACGGGUGGCGAGUGGCGGACGGGUGAGGAAUACAUCGGAAUCUACUUUUUCGUGGGGGAUAACGUAGGGAAACUUACGCUAAUACCGCAUACGACCUACGGGUGAAAGCAGGGGAUCUUCGGACCUUGCGCGAUUGAAUGAGCCGAUGUCGGAUUAGCUAGUUGGCGGGGUAAAGGCCCACCAAGGCGAUGAUCCGUAGCUGGUCUGAGAGGAUGAUCAGCCACACUGGAAUUGAGACACGGUCCAGACUCCUACGGGAGGCAGCAGUGGGGAAUAUUGGACAAUGGGCGCAAGCCUGAUCCAGCCAUACCGCGUGGGUGAAGAAGGCCUUCGGGUUGUAAAGCCCUUUUGUUGGGAAAGAAAAGCAGCAGGUUAAUACCCCGCUGUUCUGACGGUACCCAAAGAAUAAGCACCGGCUAACUUCGUG
rnacentral:rRNA from 1 species